GACGAACGCUGGCGGCGUGCUUAACACAUGCAAGUCGAACGGAAAGGCCCUGCUUUUGUGGGGUGCUCGAGUGGCGAACGGGUGAGUAACACGUGAGUAACCUGCCCUUGACUUUGGGAUAACUUCAGGAAACUGGGGCUAAUACCGGAUAGGAGCUCCUGCUGCAUGGUGGGGGUUGGAAAGUUUCGGCGGUUGGGGAUGGACUCGCGGCUUAUCAGCUUGUUGGUGGGGUAGUGGCUUACCAAGGCUUUGACGGGUAGCCGGCCUGAGAGGGUGAACGGCCACAAUGGGACUGAGAUACGGCCCAGACUCCUACGGGCGGCAGCAGUGGGGAAUAUUGCACAAUGGGCGGAAGCCUGAUGCAGCAACGCCGCGUGCGGGAUGACGGCCUUCGGGUUGUAAACCGCUUUCGCCUGUGACGAAGCGUGAGUGACGGUAAUGGGUAAAGAAGCACCGGCUAACUACGUG
rnacentral:rRNA from 1 species